GAUGAACGCUGGCGGCGUGCUUAACACAUGCAAGUCGAACGAUGAAGCCCAGCUUUCUUGGUGUACUCGUGUCGAACGCGUGAGUAACACGUGAGUAACCCCCCCUUUACUCUUUGAUAUACCUUGGAAACACUGGCUAUUAUUCCAUAUAACUUCUCCUCCUACGUUGGGGGGGUUGAAAAUUUUUUGGUUUUGGAUGGACUCGCGGCUUAUCAGCUUGUUGGUGGGGUAUUGGCUCACCAAGGCGCCGACGGGUAGCCGGCCUGAGAGGGUGACCGGCCACACUGGGACUGAGAGACGGCCCAGACUCCUACGGGAGGCAGCAGUGGGGAAUAUUGCACAAUGGGCGGAAGCCUGAUGCAGCGACGCCGCGUGCGGGAUGACGGCCUUCGGGUUGUAAACCUCUUUCGGUAGGGAAGAAGCGAGAGUGACGGUAACUGCAGAAGAAGCGCCGGCUAACUACGUG
rnacentral:rRNA from 1 species